rnacentral:miRNA from 1 species
CCUCCAGAUGUUUUGGGACUACAACUCCCACCAUCCCUAGCUAAUGGGACCAGUGGUCAGGGAUGAUGGGAGUUGUAGUCUCAAAACAUCUGGAGG